rnacentral:rRNA from 1 species
UAGGGAAUCUUCCGCAAUGGACGAAAGUCUGACGGAGCAACGCCGCGUGAGUGAAGAAGGUUUUCGGAUCGUAAAACUCUGUUGUGAGGGAAGAACAAGUACCAAGUAACUACUGGUACCUUGACGGUACCUCACCAGAAAGCCACGGCUAACUACGUGCCAGCAGCCGCGGUAAUACGUAGGUGGCAAGCGUUGUCCGGAAUUAUUGGGCGUAAAGCGCGCGCAGGCGGUCCUUUAAGUCUGAUGUGAAAGCCCACGGCUCAACCGUGGAGGGUCAUUGGAAACUGGGGGACUUGAGUGCAGAAGAGGAAAGUGGAAUUCCACGUGUAGCGGUGAAAUGCGUAGAGAUGUGGAGGAACCCCAGUGGCGAAGGCGACUUUCUGGUCUGUAACUGACGCUGAGGCGCGAAAGCGUGGGGAGCAAACA